UACGUAGGGUGCAAGCGUUAUCCGGAAUUAUUGGGCGUAAAGAGCUCGUAGGCGGUUUGUCGCGUCUGCUGUGAAAACUGGAGGCUCAACCUCCAGCCUGCAGUGGGUACGGGCAAACUAGAGUGCGGUAGGGGAGACUGGAAUUCCUGGUGUAGCGGUGGAAUGCGCAGAUAUCAGGAGGAACACCGGUGGCGAAGGCGGGUCUCUGGGCCGUUACUGACGCUGAGGAGCGAAAGCGUGGGGAGCGAACAG
rnacentral:rRNA from 1 species